GGCUGUGUAGCCUAAUGGAUAAGGCGUCGGAUUUCUGAUCCGAAGAUUGCGGGUUCGAGUCCCGUCAUGGUCG